GUUAGGGGGUUUCGCCCCUUAGUGCUGCAGCUAACGCAUUAAGCACUCCGCCUGGGAGUACGACCGCAAGGUUGAAACUCAAAGAAAUUGACGGGGGCCCGCACAAGCGGUGGAGCAUGUGGUUUAAUUCGAAGCAACGCGAAGAACCUUACCAGGUCUUGACAUCCUUUGACCACUCUAGAGAUAGAGCUUUCCCUUCGGGGACAAAGUGACAGGUGGUGCAUGGUUGUCGUCAGCUCGUGUCGUGAGAUGUUGGGUUAAGUCCCGCAACGAGCGCAACCCUUAUUGUUAGUUGCCAUCAUUAAGUUGGGCACUCUAGCGAGACUGCCGGUGACAAACCGGAGGAAGGUGGGGAUGACGUCAAAUCAUCAUGCCCCUUAUGACCUGGGCUACACACGUGCUACAAUGGACAGUACAAUGAGCAGCGACACUGCGAAGUGAAGCGAAUCUCAUAAAGCUGUUCUCAGUUCGGAUUGUAGGCUGCAACUCGCCUACAUGAAGCCGGAAUCGCUAGUAAUCGCGGAUCAGCACGCCGCGGUGAAUACGUUCCCGGGCCUUGUACACACCGCCCGUCACACCACGAAAGUUUGUAACACCCGAAGUCGGUGAGGUAACCGCAAGGAGCCAACCGCCUAAGGUGGGAUAGAUGAUUGGGGUGAAGUCGUAACAAGGUAACCAAGGGCGAAUUCUG
rnacentral:rRNA from 1 species